GAUGAACGCUAGCGGGAGGCUUAAUACAUGCAAGUCGAGGGGUAACAUUGGAGCUUGCUUCAGAUGACGACCGGCGCACGGGUGAGUAACGCGUACACGACCUACCUUUAAGAGGGGGAUAGCCUUGGGAAACUAAGAUUAAUACCCCAUAGUAUUACUGUUAUUCGAAGAUAGUAAUUAAAGUUCCGACGCUUAAAGAUGGGUGUGCGUAUGAUUAGCUAGUUGGUAAGGUAACGGCUUACCAAGGCGACGAUCAUUAGGGGGCGUGAGAGCGUGGCCCCCCACACGGGUACUGAGACACGGACCCGACUCCUACGGGAGGCAGCAGUAAGGAAUAUUGGACAAUGGAGGAAACUCUGAUCCAGCCAUCCCGCGUGCAGGAUGACGGCCCUAUGGGUUGUAAACUGCUUUUAGAUAGGACGAAACGGUUUCAUUUAUGAGAUCCUGACGGUACUAUCAGAAUAAGCACCGGCUAACUCCG
rnacentral:rRNA from 1 species